AUAGAUACCCGGGUAGUCCACGCCGUAAACGAUGUCGACUUGGAGGUUGUGCCCUUGAGGCGUGGCUUCCGGAGCUAACGCGUUAAGUCGACCGCCUGGGGAGUACGGCCGCAAGGUUAAAACUCAAAUGAAUUGACGGGGGCCCGCACAAGCGGUGGAGCAUGUGGUUUAAUUCGAUGCAACGCGAAGAACCUUACCUACUCUUGACAUCCAGAGAACUUAGCAGAGAUGCUUUGGUGCCUUCGGGAACUCUGAGACAGGUGCUGCAUGGCUGUCGUCAGCUCGUGUUGUGAAAUGUUGGGUUAAGUCCCGCAACGAGCGCAACCCUUAUCCUUUGUUGCCAGCGGUUAGGCCGGGAACUCAAAGGAGACUGCCAGUGAUAAACUGGAGGAAGGUGGGGAUGACGUCAAGUCAUCAUGGCCCUUACGAAUAGGGCUACACACGUGCUACAAUGGCAUAUACAAAGAGAAGCGACCUCGCGAGAGCAAGCGGACCUCAUAAAGUAUGUCGUAGUCCGGA
rnacentral:rRNA from 1 species